GCUCAUUCCAGCCUCUCCUGUAUCUCCAUGCUGCCUCCUGUCUCAGUACUGCCUGUUCUUCAUGCUGCCUGUUCUCCAUGCUGCCUGUUCUGCUAUGCUGCCUCCAUGCUGCUGCCUUCUCCCUCCAGGGCAGGCAGCUUUCACAACUGACAGGUAAGCUUAGGUUCAGUUAAAAUGGCCACUUCACAUAAUGGCUGGUAUAAAUACUCCCCUUAUGGCUCCGCCCUACCCAGCAUGCUAG